GCGCGCUUCUCUGAGCGCUAGGCGGGACCGUCCACUUGCAGGAAUCCGGUGAGACUCGUCCGGCAGCGUUAGGUGGUAACCAGCUUCAAUAAUGACUGUAUUAAUGCAUCAUCCGCUGAUUUUGAGUGUCAGGUGCUGGGCACUGGACUAGUACCUAGCAGUACCUUGGGGACUGAGGCGCGACUUGCCCAGAAAGAGCCCGGCUAGCAUUCAGUAAAUGUUGCAUUCUCGAAUGGAAAUGCUUUGGUGGAGGAGCGGAGUGGCCUGUGGCCGGCCCUUGCCCGCAGGGUUAAGAGAUAUGUAGUGGUGCCCAUGGAGAUGUGGUGCUCAAACCCCUCUUUGCGGAGGGACUUACUACCCCAGCUGCGGUGAGAGUUUCAGUGGAACAGCUCCCAGCUUACCGUCCUUUUGGGAGCGCAUCAGCUACAGCGGGCCGCCUCAUCAAAGGCAUGUCCUUCUCAGGAAGACUCACAGCUAAUGAAGACUGGAGGAGAGAUAUUAAAGGACCAACCAUUUGCACCCAAAGUGGAACAAUUCUGCUGAGUCAUUUCUGCUCCAGAACUCCUUGUGGCUGCGGCUAUCAAGCUUGUGUCACAGCUCAAACUUCUCCCUCCACCAGAUCCCACUUUCUCCCCUCCUUCCCACCAGUGUGAUCUUGAGGGCACACCCUGAACAUUAAACUCUGUCUCGGACACUGCUUCCUGCA